ACGCUCGACACCUACGGUAGGCAGCAGUUGGGAAUAUUGGACAAUGGAGGAAACUCUGAUCCAGUGACGCCGCGUGAAGGAAGAAGGUCUUCGGAUUGUAAACUUAUUUUGUCAGGGAAGAAAAAAUGACUGUACCUGAAGAAAAAGCACCGGCUAACUACGUGCCAGCAGCCGGACGGUAAUCUGGAGGCGGGCUGGCAAGGC
rnacentral:rRNA from 1 species